ACGAACGCUGGCGGCAGGCUUAACACAUGCAAGUCGAGCGCAAUACUAUCUUCGGAUAGUGGAGAGCGGCGGACGGGUGAGUAACGCGUGGGAACCUACCCUUUGGUUCGGUAUAACUUUGGGAAACCGGAGCUAAUACCGGAUACGCCCCGUAAGGGGGAAAGAUUUAUUGCCGCAGGAAGGGCCCGCGUUGGAUUAGGUAGUUGGUGGGGUAAUGGCUCACCAAGCCGACGAUCCAUAGCUGUUCUGAGAGGAAGAUCAGCCACACUGGGACUGAGACACGGCCCAGACUCCUACGGGAGGCAGCAGUGGGGAAUCUUGGACAAUGGGGGAAACCCUGAUCCAGCCAUGCCGCGUGAAUGAAGAAGGCCUUAGGGUUGUAAAGUUCUUUUAGUGGGGAAGAUAAUGACGGUACCCACAGAAAAAGCCCCGGCUAACUCCGU
rnacentral:rRNA from 1 species